rnacentral:rRNA from 1 species
GAUGAACGCUGGCGGCGUGCCUAAUACAUGCAAGUCGAGCGAACAGACGAGGAUCUUGCUCCUCUGACGUUAGCGGCGGACGGGUGAGUAACACGUGGAUAACCUACCUAUAAGACUGGGAUAACUUCGGGAAACCGGAGCUAAUACCGGAUAAUAUAUUGAACCGCAUGGUUCAAUAGUGAAAGACGGUUUUGCUGUCACUUAUAGAUGUAUCCGCGCCGCAUUAGCUAGUUGGUAAGGUAACGGCUUACCAAGGCAACGAUGCGUAGCCGACCUGAGAGGGUGAUCGGCCACACUGGAACUGAGACACGGUCCAGACUCCUACGGGAGGCAGCAGUAGGGAAUCUUCCGCAAUGGGCGAAAGCCUGACGGAGCAACGCCGCGUGAGUGAUGAAGGUCUUCGGAUCGUAAAACUCUGUUAUUAGGGAAGAACAAAUGUGUAAGUAACUAUGCACGUCUUGACGGUACCUAAUCAGAAAGCCACGGCUAACUACGUG